AGCGAACGCUGGCGGCAGGCCUAACACAUGCAAGUCGAACGAACCUUUCGGGGUUAGUGGCGGACGGGUGAGUAACACGUGGGAACGUGCCUUUAGGUUCGGAAUAACUCAGGGAAACUUGUGCUAAUACCGAAUGUGCCCUUCGGGGGAAAGAUUUAUCGCCUUUAGAGCGGCCCGCGUCUGAUUAGCUAGUUGGUUGAGGUAAUGGCUCACCAAGGCGACGAUCAGUAGCUGGUCUGAGAGGAUGAUCAGCCACAUUGGGACUGAGACACGGCCCAAACUCCUACGGGAGGCAGCAGUGGGGAAUCUUGCGCAAUGGGCGAAAGCCUGACGCAGCCAUGCCGCGUGAAUGAUGAAGGUCUUAGGAUUGUAAAAUUAUUUCACCGGGGACGAUAAUGACGGUACCCGGCGAAGAAGCCCCGGCUAACUUCGUG
rnacentral:rRNA from 1 species